rnacentral:rRNA from 1 species
CAGUAGCCGCGGUAAUACAGAGGCCUCAAGCGUUGUUCGGAAUCACUGGGCGUAAAGGGUGCGUAGGCGGCGCGGAAAGUCAGGGGUGAAAUCCCGGAGCUCAACUCCGGAACUGCCUUUGAUACUCCCGCGCUUGAGAACUGGAGGGGACAUCGGAAUUCACGGUGGAGCAGUGAGAUGCGUGGAUAUCGUGAGGAACACUAGUGGCGAAGGCGGAUGUCUGGACAGUAUCUGACGCUGAGGCACGAAGGCCAGGGGAGCAAACAGGAUUAGAUACCCCUGUAGUCCCUGUCUCUUAUAC